UAAGAGAUAAUGGAAACAAAUUAUAGGGCUGAAAACAAUUUGAAAAAGUUGUAGACCUAUAAAUGUCCACUGUCAUCUGUCUCUCUCCAUUUGUUUUUUCCUUAAUCUCGAGAACAGAGUUAGAUAGAUGAAAGACGAGACCAGAUACGGAAACGUUAGGAGCAGGAGGCCUUGAUUAAUUAUAUACGAACUUCCGAUGCAAACCAGCAGUUUGAGAGUUCUGUGUCAACAUGAUCAUGGUUAAGAUUGUUAGAGUGACUACUUUGGAGCACAGAAAGAUCACUGUGUAGGUGAUGUGCUGAUAUGUAUAUGAACUAGAAAAUGCUCUUCAAGAUUAUAAAAAUAAGAUAUGUCAGCGCGGUUUCAUCCAUAUUCUGCAGAAACCUUGAGAAAUAACUGACAGCUGUCGACCACCUGCAACAAGGAAGAAGAAUAAGGCAAUCGGAAGACUGCGAUGGAAACCGAAGUUUCCUCUAUUCCUAAUAAGAUAUCCGUUCCUACUCGAUGAAACGAUAAAGAAUAUUUUUUUUUUUAACAAAUAAAAUUUAUGUGGAA